UAAAACCGUGCAUUACAUCUAUGUAUACAUAUAUGUUUACUCAUAUAUACAUAUAUGCAUGAAACUAUAGAUAACUUAGAAAUUAUGAAAAUUUCAUUAGAGCAUUCAUAUUCCAUUUGUGGAUGGAAAUAGCAUUAGAAAUUUUCUAAGUGAUCCAUCACCUAUUUGUAUCAUAGCUCAAUAUAAUUUUCACCAUGUGACUGUAGCACACAUUAGUUGGAUAAAGUGAAUCAUUUAGGGAUUGAUAUACUUUUUGUAAUGCCUACCAACAAUUUGACCUGUCAGUCGUUAUAAUAUUUUUUAAUCGAACCAUUAUUCACAGUGGCAGGGCAAAAAAUAGAAAGUUCUGGAUGCAUUGUUCUAUGAGUAAUCAUAUAAUAUACUAUAAUCAUAAUGAGUAAUCAUACUAAGUACAAAGUGAUAUGUCAUUUAUCUUAGCUUUGAUUCUGUAACCAUAUGCUUAUUACAAGUAUUUGUGUAACAAGUACUUCAGGUGUACAGGGUGUUUCAUUUUUAUCCCACCAAGUAAUGUCACUAUAUUCUAUGAUUAAAAAUAAGAAAAAGAAUGUUAUAUAAACAUAGGAUUGUACGUGUCUUAUUACAAAGUUAUAAUAAAGAUGCCAAAUUUAUAAAUGACUGAAUCCUCUUUGUUGGUUGAUCUGAAUUCUCAUGGUUGACCAUGUUUACUAAAGUUCUUGUUCAAAGUUUUGUCUGUUCUUGUAAAUACUAAAUUGACCUAUGAGGUUGUUCCAUAUAAAAUCAAACAAGAAACCAGUUAUUUAUAAUUUUGGUAUCUUUGUUAUAACUUUGUAAUUGAGCAUUUAUAACUAUGUUUAUAUAACAUUUUUGUCUUAUUUUUAAUCAUAGAACGUGCUGACACCAUUUGGCAGCAUAAAAAUGAAACAUCCUGUAUACAUGUAUGUAAGAAUGUUCUAGAAUACUUUGUUUACACAUGUUUCACAUAUAAUCUAUACAUCUAUAGAUAUAUACAUCGUAAAACUUAAAAUUUCAUCAUGCACUGUAUGAAGAUUAUGUUAUUAGUAGAAUGUAUUAUUUAAAAAAAAAAUCGUUUAAAA